AUAAAAAACAAAGUAAAAACUAAGAAGAAAAAACAUCAAAGAAACAGAACCCUAUCGUCGUCUCCGACUCUUUUUUCUCAAAGAGGCGAUUUCGUUUUCGCAGUCAGACACCUUCUUUCUCUGGCCCGUCUAAGUUCGUCGGAAAGCUUCAACUCGUCGUUACAUCUCUCUGUCGUCCUCCUUCUUUUGUCUUUCUCUUUUGAGAACCACCGAUUACAAUCAAAGUUGUUCAAUCUUUUUAGUUCAUUCUUAGGGUUUCGAUUUGUCUUGAUUAUCUGUUUCUGUGUCUAGGGUUUUGAUUUUGGUUGACAAUAUGUUUUGUUCGUAGGGUUUUGAUUUUGGUUGACUAUUUGUUUCUGUCUUGAGUCUCUGUUUUUGUACAUGAUUAAUCUUGUCUCUGGUCUUCACUAUCUUGUUUAUAUUGUAUAUGAUUUAUCUUGUCGCUGGUCUUGACUAUCUUAUUAUCUUGUCUAUGUGUUAUAGUAGCUAGUCUCGUAUUUGGAGUAUAAAAGCUCAUCUCUUUUCUUUAUUCCUUCAGUGUUUUAAUGGUUGAUGCCUAUUUCCGCACCAGUUUGUUAUCUAGGCAAGUUAAAACCUUUGUAGUUAUUGUUUGUGUUUAUGUAAAUCGAAACACACUUGGUAUCAGAUUGGAUUAGCUUUGACUAAAAACCACUACCUAUAUACUUGUCAGGAGCUUAUUAUGAUGAGGAGGCUACUGCUGCCUUGAAAUAUUGGGGACCUGGAACACUUAUCAGUUUUCAGAAGAAGAUUAGUGGUGGUGCAGUGAAAAAGAAUGGUGGUCAAGGCGAUGUGGUGGUCGUUGGAUUCACGUCACACAGCUUGAGGUUGGAUGAAGAAGAUCUCUGAGAUCCAGUGAGGAGGCGGAUUCACGGUUGAAGGGUCGAGACGACUAAGAAGGUUAGAGGAGAUUGGCUUUUAUUUCAACACGAGGUACUUUGAAGAUACGUAACAGUUGGUGAAUUUGGACGCUGUUGAGAAUGUGGUGGUUGUGAGCAAGAGGUGGUAGCCAUGUAGAUUAGGUUUAGAAUUUUUUUUUGUUUAGUGUAAACAAUUUUUUUGGUUUAGUUUGACAAACCGUUUUAAUUUUGUAAACAAAAUUUUAGGCAAUAUUAUUUAAAAAUAAAUAAAAAAGAUAUAAGAGAUUUAGGAAAUA